GACGAACGCUGGCGGCGUGCUUAACACAUGCAAGUCGAACGGAAAGGCCCUGCUUUUGUUGCGUUCUCGAGAGGCGAACGGGUGAGUAAAACGUGAGUAACAUGCCCUUGACUUUGUGAUAACUCCAGGAAACAGGGGCUAUAAUAGGAUAGGAUCUCUUGCUGCACGGGGGGGGUUGGAAAGUUUCGGCGGUUGUGGAUGGUCUCGCGGCUUAUCCGCUUGAUGGUGGGGUAGGGGCUUACCAAGGCUUUGACGGGUAGCCGGCCUGAGAGGGUGACCGGCCACAAUGGGACUGAGAGACGGCGCAGACUCCUACGGGAGGCAGCAGUGGAGAAUAUUGCACAAUGGGCGGAAGCCUGAUGCAGAAGCGCCGCGUGCGUGAUGACGGCCUUCGGGUUGUAAACCGCUUUCGCCUGUGACGAAGCGGGAGUGACGGUAAUUGGUAAAGAAGCACCGGCUAACUACGUG
rnacentral:rRNA from 1 species